GGGACAUGGGAACAAAUUAUGAACAUUUUUGGCAACAACAUAGAUGGAGUUGUACUUAUACCUGUAUUAGUUCUUGUUUCAAGUAAUGUGGUGUGUCUUUUCAUCCCGAGUUUGUGCUUAAUUAUUGUAGGUUUAUAUUGUAAACUUGGGGCUUCCCUUUUUCUUGGGUCAGUUCUCUGCUGAUUUAAUUUAUCUGUUAGUAACUUUGAGGAUGACGAUGAGGUUGUAGCAUGCUAGCAGCUAUGUCCAGAUUGUGAGGCUGUCCACUCUUCCCUUCUGUUAAAUCUUUGAAAUAGGAUGGCUAAGUAUGACUUCAGUGAAGAUGACGGUGCACACAUUGAGAAAGCAUUAAGGAUCCGGUGAGCAUGUGGUGCCAAAUCAAUAGCUAGGAUAAUUUAUGAAUUGGAACUUUAGGCAGAGGCAAUUAGUACUGAGCGUGAAGAGGAGAACGAUCUUGACAUUGGUAUUGUAUUUGUCGCUGCACAUCCAUGGCAUGAUUUUGACAUUGGUCCUGAAGUACAAAAAAUUGCCAGUUGUGUUAUUGAGAUCUCAAAAGGAAUCUAGGUCAAGUAUGAACUGGACAAGAAAACAAGAUUAAUUAAGGUUAAUCGUAUUCUGUAUUCAUCAGUGGUGUAUCCUCGCAACUUGCACUUUUGAUUGGUUUUAUUGCCAUUUUGCCUUGAUCAUGGCCAUCAAUUUCAACAGCUGAAGCGGUAUUCAGUUAAUAUUAUGUUUUGGAAGUGACCCUUGGUUGAGGUGGCCUUUGGAGAACUUGCUUAGAUGCUAUUAUAUGUAGGAUUUUUGAAGUAAGUAUACGGUGGCUAUCUUUCAUAGUACAGAGUAUCUAGUCAAGCUAUCUUUGGUCCUAAACUGCAAACCUGCUGUUAAUAGACUGAUGUUGUAAUGCUGUACUUUCUAAUACUAGUAUGGCCUCGCCGCCUCGGUAGAACUUGUAACUGUGUGUAAGCAAUGGAUACUUCUUUUUUGAUUUUAGCAUGUAAUAGCUACUAUAGUUCGUAUUGAUUAAAAGAUU